GUGUCAGCAGCCGCGGUAAUACGAAGGGUGCUAGCGUUGUUCGGAAUUACUGGGCGUAAAGCGCGCGUAGGCGGCUUAUCAAGUCAGAGGUGAAAUCCCUGGGCUCAACCCAGGAAUUGCCUUUGAAACUGUUGAGCUAGAGUGUCGGAGGGGAUAGCGGAAUUGCUAAUGUAGAGGUGAAAUUCGUAGAUAUUAGCAGGAACACCGGUGGCGAAGGCGGCUAUCUGGACGACAACUGACGCUGAGGCGCGAAAGCGUGGGGAUCAAACAGGAUUAGAAACCCUUGUAGUCC
rnacentral:rRNA from 1 species